AUCUAAAUAGUUUAAUAAAAAAUAUUGGUUUGUGGUGCCAGUGAUAUAAGAUUUUAUUUUGGAUU
rnacentral:tRNA from 1 species